UACGUAGGGUGCAAGCGUUAAUCGGAAUUACUGGGCGUAAAGCGUGCGCAGGCGGCUGUGCAAGACAGGUGUGAAAUCCCCGGGCUUAACCUGGGAACUGCACUUGUGACUGCACAGCUGGAGUACGGCAGAGGGGGAUGGAAUUCCGCGUGUAGCAGUGAAAUGCGUAGAUAUGUGGAGGAAUACCGAUGGCGAAGGCAGCCUCCUGGGCCAACACUGACGCUCAUGCACGAAAGCGUGGGGAGCAAACAGG
rnacentral:rRNA from 1 species